CCUACGGGGGGCAGCAGUGGGGAAUAUUGGACAAUGGGGGGAACCCUGAUCCAGCCAUGCCGCGUGUGUGAAGAAGGCCCUCGGGUUGUAAAGCACUUUCAGUGAGGAAGAACGCCUGGUGGUUAAUACCCAUCAGGAAAGACAUCACUCACAGAAGAACCACCGUCUAACUCCGUGCCAGCAGCCGCGGUAAUACGGAGGGUGCGAGCGUUAAGCGGAAUUACUGGGCGUAAAGCGCGCGUAGGUGGCUUGAUAAGCCGGUUGUGAAAGCCCCGGGCUCAACCUGGGAACGGCAUCCGGAACUGUCAAGCUAGAGUGCAGGAGAGGAAGGUAGAAUUCCCGGUGUAGCGGUGAAAUGCGUAGAGAUCGGGAGGAAUACCAGUGGCGAAGGCGGCCUUCUGGACUGAAACUGACACUGAGGUGCGAAAGCGUGGGUAGCAAACAGGAUUAGAUACCCUUGUAGUC
rnacentral:rRNA from 1 species